GUGAAUUAAUAGGGUGUCCAAUUUAACUUGGAGCCCGACCUUCUCACUUUCUAACCCUGUGCAUCUGUAUCUAAUGGUGAGCUGCUUUGCAGCGAGCCUUCACUUAAAACACCGAGUCUAAGAAUGUAUAUAAUCAUAACUAUAUAA
rnacentral:misc_RNA from 1 species